CAGUGAGGAAGGCGCUACGGAGGCCAACGAGGAAGAUGUUAGAGACGCCAGUGAGGAAGACGUUAAAAGUACCAAUGAAAAGGCAGAUAGUAUCCUAAACUUUUUGAAAUCAACAGAAGAAAUUUAUUUUUAUGAUGGUUUCUCCAAGGAUUCAGACCCAGCUGUCUUUAUGGAAACCACAGAGGAGCUAUUUAAACAUCUUGAGACUCACAGUCUGUCUCCCUCAGAUGUGUUCAUUCUGGAUCACAUGAAAACGCUGUUACUUUCACAAGAUACUGAAAGACUGAAGAGUGCCCUGGAGCUGUUCCCAGAACAUUGCAUGAUGCCGCCCGACCAUGCCAGCGUCGUCUCAGCUUUCUUUAAUUACUGGAUCACACAUAUCCUUCCUGAGAAAAACAGUGAAUAGAAUCAGUACAUCUGUUUAAGAGGAGCUAACAUUUAGCACAAAAAUAUAAAAGACAAAUAUGAAAUGGGCUGAGACUUGAUUGCUAUAUACAAAGAAGAUGGACUUCUUCUCUGCAUUUUCUCUGUAAUCC